rnacentral:rRNA from 1 species
CGAAAGUAUAAGAGGUCCCGCCUGCCCUGUGGACUAUAUGUUUAACGGCCGCGGUAUUUUGACCGUGCGAAGGUAGCGCAAUCACUUGUCUUUUAAAUGGGGACCUGUAUGAAUGGCAUAACGAGGGCUUAACUGUCUCCUCUUUCAAGUCAAUGAAAUUGAUCUCCCCGUGCAGAAGCGAGGAUAGAUACAUAAGACGAGAAGACCCUAUGGAGCUUUAGACACUAAAGCAGAUCAGUAUUAAUACCCUGAACAUAGGCUACGAAUAAACUGACCCCUGCCCUAAUGUCUUUGGUUGGGGCGACCGCGGAGAAAAAUAAAACCCCCGCAAGGACUAAAUGUACUACAUUCACAAACAAGAGCGACAGCUCUAACUAACAGAACUUCUGACCAAUAAGAUCCGGCAAUGCCGAUCAAUGAACCGAGUUACCCUAGGGAUAACAGCGCAAUCUCCUCUUAGAGC